rnacentral:rRNA from 1 species
ACGGCCGCGGUAUCUUGACCGUGCAAAGGUAGCAUAAUCAAUUGUUUUAUAAUUGAAGACUGGAAUGAAUGGUUGAAUGAAAUAUUAGCUGUCUUAUUUGUAUUUAUUAGAAUUUAGCUUUUAGAUGAAGAGAUUUAGAUGUAAUUGAUAGACAAGAAGACCCUGUUGAGCUUUAAAUAAUUUUAGAGUCCUUUAAUUUAGAUAGAUUGUUCAAUUUUGAUCCAAUAUUAUUGAUUAAAAAAAAUAGUUACCACAGGGAUAACAGCAUAAUCUUCUUUGAGAGUUCAUAUCGAAAAGAGGGGUUGUGACCUCGAUGUUGGACUAAAAUAUCCCAUAAAUGUAGCUGUUUAUGAUGGUUG